GAGGGUAUAGGUUAGUGGUAUAGUGUGUGUUUAGCAUGCAUUAAGGUCCUGGGUUCGAUCCCCAGUACCUCCA
rnacentral:tRNA from 1 species